GAUGAAGAACGUAGCGAAAUGCGAUAAGUAAUGUGAAUUGCAGAAUUCAGUGAAUCAUCGAAUCUUUGAACGCAUAUUGCGCCCUUUGGCUAUUCCGAAGGGUAUGCCUGUUUGAGUAUCAUGAACACCUCAACUCUCAAGGUUUGCCAUGAUGAGCUUGGACUUUGGGGGUCUUGCUGGCCUGUGGUCAGCUCCUCUCAAAUGGAUUAGCUUGCCAGUGUUUGGUGGCAUCACAGGUGUGAUAACUAUCUACGCUUGUGGUUUUCCACCAGGUAACCUUCAGCAAUGGGGGUUCGCUGGGGCUCAUAAAUGUCUCUCCUCAGUGAGGACAGCUCUUUGAACGUUUGAUCUCAAAUCAGGUAGGACUACCCGCUGAACUUAAGCAUAUCAAUAAGCGGAGGA
rnacentral:misc_RNA from 1 species